rnacentral:lncRNA from 1 species
CCGCUUCGCUCCACCGAUCCAAACCCACUUCGCAAAACCUGUGCACGAAGGAGCCCCCAAACCCAACCAACUAGAACGAGUGAUAUCCAUGGAGAAGAAGGAUCUGCUCGGCGUCCGGACGAAGCCGGCGGCAGGGAAGCGGCGGCGCAAGGUGGCAGCUGGCCCGGGACUCGCCAAGGCGAUCGCGGAGUACCUCGCGUCCGACUCCUAUAUGUACGCGCCGCUGGUCUCAGAACCACAGGAGCAGGCGCCGCCGCAGCCCGCGGCAGCGCCUGCGACAAGUACACCUGGUUAGUCACCGAUUCCUCAUUCCUAAUCCUUCUUGCGAGCGACGUAUAAUCAUGUGUGGUAGUUUAGGACCCUUUUCUGAAAAGGGUACAGCGCAUAAUUCCAGUGCUGACCUGGUGAAAUUUCAGUGUGUUGCAUACCUGCAUCCCACAGCGAACUGCUCGAGCAACUGAGCACUAGGUAGUGGCGUAGUGUUGUAUCUAUACAGUACAUGUUGGUGCCUAGUACAUGUAAUCCGCGGGGAGGACGAACCUUUUGAUGUGAGUAAUACUAAUUUUACAGUUCAGUUCUACUCUACUACUUGACCAAACCAGCAGACGGUAGAGAUAAAAACUGAGAGCUGGAAUUUACUAAUAAACUGAGUAAUACUAAUAAACUGAGAGCUGGAGUAGAAGAGAAGAUGUCAGAAUUAUUUACGUAGAUAGCUAACAGUAUAGCCCACGGGAAGAUAUCAGAGUUCUUUCUAAAAAAACAAGAUAUCAGAAUUAUGUUAAUCGUGCUGCUGGAAUUCAAUCUUCUGGUAAUCGAUAUAGUAGAAGGAUGGGGUUGCAUUCAGCUGUUUAUUAUACAGAGAUGGUUGAAGGAACAUAUAGUCUUACAAAGCAAAUUAAUCAAGUUAAGAGUUAUUACUAAUCUUCCAGAUUUCCUUCUUCCCAUUUAGUUACCGUCUUAAGAAAAAUAAAAUAUUGUUGUGUAUCACGAUUCUGUGGAAUCUCGAAGUCUCGAGUUUAGCAAGUCUUAAGGCAUUUUCCAUUGAGUCUGAACAUGUAGCUUGCUUUUCGAUUCUCUGCUUAUUAAUUUAUUUGGACCAAACUACUUAUUGGUUGGCUGCUUCAUUUCAAUCCAGUUUAGUCAAGUAAGAUGUCCACCUCAUGAUAUAUUGUCGUGCAGCUUCUGCAGAGAAAGGAGUAGCUCUGGUGCAAAAAUACAGAGGCUCUUGGCGUGGUACAUUUGCUGCCUGCUAGAAGCAUUUGUGGCGAUGUAGCUGUGUAGCCUUUUAGCAUAAGCUUAAAGCUUUCCCGAUGUUGUUUUAUUCUCCUUUGACUAUGCACAUAUGCUUUCUCUAACAAUUUACCUUUGUUCUGGAGCCAUGUCUCCGAGAAAGGCUAACAGUUAGUUAAUCCAGGGGCAUAUGUAACUAUCUGUACCUUAUCUUGUGUCUUCACUGAUGCAACCGGACUCCCGGUGUAUCUCGUAUGAUGUUCUCGUUUUGCUACUUUGCUGCCUUUUCUUUGGAUGUAGCUUACUAUUGUUUUGUUUGUCUAUCUCACCUGAAAAGUGAAUAAUCCUACUGCAUUCUCGACCGUAGUAUAUAUCCGUCUAACUCUAAGUUGGUGCCAGUCAGAAUGCGCAAAGCACUGAUCCGUGGGUAGGGUUUACUGGGUUGUUUGGUUUGUCAUAUGAGCAUCUAUAACCGUGUUUGGUUUGUCAUAUGAGUAUCUACAACCGGACCCACCACUUCCCUUCGGGGAAUCGGAAAUACUCACCCAAUGGGACCCACCAAACCCAUCCCAAAUGUUUGGGCUGUCCGACUCACUUCAUAUGCAACUCCACCAAACCCAUCCAAAUGUUUGGGCAGGCACCCUUCAUAUGCAACUCAUAUGUGGGACGGAUAUGAAGCAGGUUUUUUUUGAACGGGGGCGCAAAAUGCAAGCCCAUAGUUUGGAACGAUACAAAAAACCAAACACAAACGAUCCAAGUUAGGAACGAUACAGAAAAUCAAACACAAAAGGCCGAAGCCAAAAAUCUUAAAACAUGCAACUGGCCAAAAGGCCGAAGCCAAAAAUCUUAAAACAUGCAACUGGCCGUAGCCUGAUAAGAACCUAGCAGUAGCCUAAACCUACUGCCUAAACCGCGGGACGGAAGGAGUCCAAAACCAGCAAAACACCAUGGGGAUCAAUAACGAGCAGCGAUUUGAAUAGCGCAGAUCCUCUCCAUGGCCUCCUCCAUCCGCUCAGUGUUCCGUCGUUUUCCCAACAGCAUCCAAGUCUGAAGAAACAAAUGGCAUUUGAAAAUGAUGUCAGCAAGAUGCGAAGGAACCUUAUGCUCGAUAGUAAUUUUGUUACAGGUGGCCCAAAAGAGACCACAACAACACCCCUAUGCAACGCUAAAGAAUCCUAGCGAAUCCACCCCUAUGAACGCUGAGAAUGGCGCACAACUCCCCAGUGGAGUGAGGGUUCCAGUUUUGCCCAAAGGCUUUCCGGACCGCACUCCAAGCAAAACGGGCGAGGUAGCAAUUGAAGAAGAUGUUAGCAUCCUCAUGAGCCCCCCAGACUGUACAGUUACCGUCCGAAGGUCCGUUUCUCUUGGCAACGUUAUUGGACGACGGAAGGCGGUCACGGAACAUUUGCCAAGGAAACACCUUGAUUUUGAGGGGGAUAGCCACUUUCCACAGUCCCCUAGCUAUGUCAAGUGUAGGGAUCUCCAAUAAUUUGGCGUAAAGCGAUUUAACCGAGAACUUCCUGGAAUUUGUGAGAGACCGGGACACUACGUCUUGCUCGGUGCUCAGCAUAGUACCGGACAACAUGGUGCAUAGCCCCUCCCAGCACGCCCGUUCUGGGUCAGUGAGGGGCCGCAUGAAAGAGAUUGCUGGAGGGGUUGCUCUAAGCGCGUCUGCCACUAAAAUUUCUGUGUUCGUAGCUAAGCGGUAAAGAGAUUGGUGGCUUUGCCAAAGUGGCUCAGCACCACACCAAGAGUCAAGCCAGAAGCGUGUCGAUCUACCGUUGUUAACUCGAAACUGGGCUCCUAGCGCCAAAGCCGAUUUGACAGCCUGAAUCCUAUUCCAGAAGGUCGAACCUUUGGCCUUGGAAGUAAGGAAGUUACCGUUAGGGAAAUAUUUCGCCCUAAGGAUCUCCGCCCAGAGCCCCUGCUCAUUCUGCGAGAGCUUCCACAACCAUUUAGAAAGGAGGGCCACAUUCAUGAGUUUGGAGUUUAGAAUCCCCAACCCUCCAAACUUCUUGGGCCGGCAAACCGCAGCCCACUUGACUAAGUGGUAUUUCCUUUUGGUCCCUGUUCCUUCGUAAAAGAACUUGGACCUGGUGUGUCAAGCUUGGCGUGAACACCGUCAGCAAGAAUAAACAUACCCAUAGUAAACAUGGGUAGAGAGGAAAGACUAGCGUUAGUCAGGAUAAGCCUAGUGGCUUAGGACAUGAACCUACCACGCCAAGGGCUGACCUUGUUCGCCACCUUGCCAUAAAGGGGCUCCCAAUCGUGAAUGGAGAUAUGUUUGUUAGUGAUCGGGAGGCCUAGGUACUUAAUCAGGAAGCUCCCUAACUUACAAUUAAGCAUAUUGGCAACAUAGAUCGCCUCAGGUUCUACCAUCCCAAUGGCAAUCACCUUGCUCUUAAGGAACUUGAUCUUCAGGCCCGAGAUCACCUCGAAAGCUAAAAGGAUGAGCUUGAUAUAAGCGAUACUAUGGUUUUCGGGCUCAAAGAGCAGCAUCGUGUCGUCCGCGUAUUGGAGAUGCGUGACUCCCCCUGGAAUGAGGUGAGUGACCAUGUCCCGGAUGUGCCCGGCAUCCUUCGCCUUGUUGAUCAUGGCCGAGAGGGCGUCCGCAACUAGGUUAAAGAUCAAGGGGAAGCUUGGGUCUCCUUGUCUUAGGCCACGCUUGUUGCAGAAGAAGUUCCCAACUUCUCCGUUAAUUGACACUACAGUNNNNNNNNNNNNNNNNNNNNNNNNNNNNNNNNNNNNNNNNNNNNNNNNNNNNNNNNNNNNNNNNNNNNNNNNNNNNNNNNNNNNNNNNNNNNNNNNNNNNNNNNNNNNNNNNNNNNNNNNNNNNNNNNNNNNNNNNNNNNNNNNNNNNNNNNNNNNNNNNNNNNNNNNNNNNNNNNNNNNNNNNNNNNNNNNNNNNNNNNNNNNNNNNNNNNNNNNNNNNNNNNNNNNNNNNNNNNNNNNNNNNNNNNNNNNNNNNNNNNNNNNNNNNNNNNNNNNNNNNNNNNNNNNNNNNNNNNNNNNNNNNNNNNNNNNNNNNNNNNNNNNNNNNNNNNNNNNNNNNNNNNNNNNNNNNNNNNNNNNNNNNNNNNNNNNNGAACUAAACCUAACUCGAAGCCCUUCCGAAUCAGAACCUCAAGAAUGAAAUCCCAGUUCACUAGAUUGUAGGCUUUCUCGAAGUCCAGCUUGAGGAGCACAACCUGCUGCUUGGUUCAUUUAAGCUCAUGGAUAGUUUCCUGAAGCACAACCGGGCCCUCAAGAAUGUUGCGACCUUUGAGAAAGGUCGACUGGCUCCUAUUGAUCACCCGCUGCGCGAUAGGGGCCAGUCUCAUCGUGUAAGCCUUAGCGCAAAUUUUGAAAGGAAUAUUGAUGAGGGUUAUCGGUCGGUACUGCUUAAUCGAGUCGCACCCCAUAACCUUUGGGAUCAAGCUGAUGACCCCAAAGUUGAGGCGUGAGAUGUCUACCAUACCUAACACAAACCCGUUGAUAAUAUCAUAAAACCACCCUUUCAGUGCUGGCCAAAAGUGUCUAAAUAAGGCCACCGGCCAGCCAUCGGGGCCUGGGGCAGUGUCAACCUUCAUUGAACCCACAGCCGAGUCAAUUUCCUCCGUGGAAAAGGACAGGGCCAGGAGAUCGUUUUCUUCCUGUGAAACACGAGUGUCAUGUCCCCACAUGUCAGGUCAUAGUCGCAGUGGUUUCUGUCGUGGUUCUAAGCCUGACAGUAGAAUGAGGGGGUAGGUAUGGAGAGGCAAGAUCCUAGCUAUGGAGCAGUUGUGCACACAAGUGUUUUACGAGUUCAGGCCCUUCUCGGAGGAAGUAACAGCCCUACGUCUCGGAGCCCGGAGGCGGUCGACUGAAUUAUGUGUGUGAGAGUUACAGGGGUGCGAACCCUUCUACCAGUGGAGGGGGUGGCUUAUAUAGAGGAUGCCAAGACCCUAGCCAUCCCACGUAGCAGAGGGUUAAAGUACAUUAAGGUCUGGCGUUACUGGUAACGCCCUACAUAAAGUGCCAUCAUGACCAUUAAGACUACUUAAUUACAGACCGUUUGGAUACAGAGCAGAUCUUGAACUCCUGGUGGUCGAGUGAGUCUUCAUGGUCGAGUGUCUUCAGGUUCGUCGAGUGUCUUCUAGUCCGUAGAGUGGAGUCCCUCUUGGUCGACUGGAAGACGGCUUCUUCUAAGAGAUGUCCUUGGGGAGGGUACCUUGGUCAGGUUCAUGACCCUACCCUAGGUACAUGACUUCAUCAGUAGCCCCCGAAUGGAUCGAGGUUUGAGUGAGGAAGGAGUUGGCAAUCUUUCCGACCUGCUAUUUGGUGCUGUAAAGGUGUUUUGCUCUGGAUCAAUGACUUUCAAGUGAGGGUGUCAACUUUCGUUCAGUCACCUUGAUCCAUUCUUUAUAUCUGUCGAGUGAACUUUAUGAACUUGGGAAUUUCCGAGCGACGGAUUGUAGGAGAUCUUCCGUCUGACAAGUUGCCCUGUGGCUAGCGGAUUUAGUGGGAUCCGAAUUUUGGGAAGCGCGCGAAGCGGAGCAGACCAAGGUACUCGGAUGGGAUAAGGCAGGGACGCCUCGAUUCUCGCGCCGCCUUUUUCGCCACGUAUCGCUUGCGCGACUGUUUCGGGAUUUGACAGGAUCGCCUGGGCCUACCUGUCGGCCACUCGGAAGUGACCCCAUAUAAGGAAACCGGCGGAGGUUUUUUGAACAGUGCCUCCUCAUUUUCUCCUCCCUCGCCUCCAGAUUCAUCCGCUGUGCCCACCAACUGCCCGACGCCGCUGCUCCGUUCCGGCCUCGUCAGCGACAAUGGUGAAAGAGAAGACGGCAGCUUUGGAGCGGGCGAAGAAGGCGACGGCGGCGGCGAAAGUGGAGGGAAGAGCGACCAGUCGAGGGGGAUCCUCAUCACGGUCCCGUUUGCCGCAAGGUUGGAUCCAGGGUGAUUGGAUCCGCUCGACCAUCACGCAAAAGGAUCUCGACGACCUGGCCGACGAAGGCCUGAUUGCGCACGGGGCGGCGAGGCUUCCGGGGAUGGAGUGGCAGCCACAGCCUCGGGAGGGUGAGUAUGUCCUCUUGGCGACUCAUGUAGAUCGAGGGUUCUCUCUGCCACCGCAUCUUUUCUUUCGAGGGUUUCUGAAUUUCUUUGGAGCUCAGCUUCACCACUUUACCCCUAAUUCCAUUGCCUAUCUCUCCGCCUUUGUAUCUUUGUGUGAGAACUUCUUGGGUUGUCGGCCGCACUGGGGCCUCUUCAAACACAUAUUCACUUGUUGUUCUCAGAAGGUGAAAAAGGCCAGCCCCAAUGACGGGAGAACUCAGGUAAUCCAGAUGUGUGGGGGUCUCGGGGUCCAGAUGAGGAGUAAGAGCGCUUUCCCAGCUAUGACCCUUCCCGAGUCAGUUAGAGGGUGGCAGUCGACCUGGUUCUACUACCAAGACCAGUCGACGCCAGGACAGUCGACUGGGCUCCCUCCCUUCUCUAUGAGUCGAGUGAACAAGCCAUCCUUUAUGGAAGUAGUUCCGGAGGAGAAGGCUCAGGUAAAAAUGUUGAUGGAGCGAGUAGUUCAGUUGAUCUGUGACAGUGUGACUGGCAUGGACCUUCUGGAGGUUUUCCUUCGGCGGCGCAUCCAACCACUCCAGUACCGGGGCCACCCGAUUUGGUUGUAUUCUGGUACUGAAGACACUAGUCGGGUCCACCCAGAGGAGGUCGAUGAUGCCACACUGGAGAGGUGGAUGACUGCCAUCACGGGGAACAAGGACAACCCUCGUGGAGCCAGGAGGAUCCCGCCACUCGACCAAUCUUAUGAGGCGGACAAGGUAUGACCACUUUCCUCCGAUUGCUCCAUCCGUUCUGUUCCGUCGUAGAUCAGUCGAUUGACUUUUGUCUUGCUUGCUGUCUUUCAGGAAACCACCGAGUUGUACUCGAUGCCAAAUGGGGCACAGGCGCAGGCCGAAGAGGAGGAGGGAAGCGGAGGCGAAAGCCAAGAGGAGUGGGAGUCGGAUACCGAUGAGGGUGACGAAGAUGCAGGCUCUGAUGAGGAGGAAGAGGAGGAGGAAGUUGCGCCUCCUCGUUCCGAAAGGAGGUCCAAGCUCGCCCACGACCCUGCGGCUGAUCGUGGCAAGGGAGUCGUACCUGCUGGGCAGUCGACGAAACGCCCUCAGGCAACUUCACCGGCGCCGACUGAAAAGGCAUCGAAGCAACCCCGAGCGACCCCGACAACACCGGCGAAGGCCCUACCGAAGAUGAGGAUGGAAAUCCCGACUGUUUUUGGGUAACGGCAUAACUCAUGUUUUUCAUUCUUGGUCGACUCAAUCGCUGACCGACUGAUAUUUGAAAUCGUAGUGCUGCUACUUCUGAGACUUCAACCAGGCACGAGGAUCAAGAAAUGGAAGAUGCUGCUACUUCUCAUCCAGGUAUGAUCUGCGCGGUUUUGCUUUUGGUUGAUUGAAUCUUUAUUUUUUGACAUUGAACUUCUUCUGCAGCUCCACCUAGCGUUGUCAUCAAUCUCCCUGACGAUGACGAUGAAGCGCCACUGAGGCAGAGGAGGAGCAGGAAGGCGACUGUUGGCAAGGCUGUUCCGGUUGUGUCAGCACCUGGACCACAGAUUCCGGAAGGGAGCAACGUUGCUCGGGCUAUCGUGUCCUUUGCGGAGCCGUUGACGGUUUCCCGCCCUUUGUCGUCGAGUGUUGACCCGCCUUCUCUCUUCUCCACCUACCACGUCCCGGAGGACCAAGCAAGCGCUGCCAAGGAAGCCAUACGCCAGGACGGGAUUAUGAUGGAGCAGGUGAAGGUGAUCCGAACCGCCAGCCAAGCAGCUUAUGGCGCGAGCUCAGCUCUCCGGAGCAAUGUCCAGGUUUGUUAAACAUCGACUGGAAAUCUUGAUAUUUGUCAUGCACCCACUGGGUGUGUCAAUUCUAUGGUGGACUGCUGGCAGCCGACUGUAGUCUUUGUGUCUUGAGAUUUCUCACUUUACUUGUUUCACUCGAGCGUAGUCGAGUGGAACAAUAAAACUGCUUCCGGUCGACUGAUCGACUCUGAGUCUAGUUGAUAGAACUAGUGGGGGCACGCUGAGUGCACCCACUGGGUGUAGUCCCCGAGACCGUGGUCGAUUGCUGGCAAUCGGCUAUGGUCUGAUUGAUUUUUUUUACUGCUGACAGUUAACUGCUUCCGGUCGACUGAUCGACUCUGAGUCUAGCUGAUAGAACUAGUGGGGGCAUGCUGAGUGCACCCACUGGGUGUAGUCCCCGAGACUACAGUUGAAUGUUUAGAUUCAGCUGUAGUCUUAGAAAUAUUAUGAUUUUUCUUUUAGUCAUUCGGAAGUGAUUUGUCGUUGAUGUCUGUCGACUGAACUUUCGCAGAAAUCUUGUGACCUUGUUUCUCGUUAUACCGAAUUGGAGAACAAGCAUAUCCAUCUUGAACUUGACCAGAAGCUUGUCCAAGAGAACUUUACGAAGUCGAAGGAGGAGGCAAAAGGUAUGUUUGGUGAGAAUCUUGACGACUGUCCUUGCUUCUUGCCUGUCUCCGAGUCUGAUCUUAUUGUGGUUUUGCAGAAAAACUGAGGGAUGCCCUGAAGAAGAAGGACCUUGACCUCGCCGAGGCGCAGAAAGCGGCUUCGGACAAGAUAAAACUUGCAGAAGAAAAGUUGGCUUCUGUCAACAAACUUGAAGAGGAAAACACUAAUCUGAAAGCUGCUCUCGACGUGGCCAACCAAGAGGUCACUCGACUGAAGAAUGCCAAUAUGGUCCUGAGUGACAAAGCUGGCGAACUGGCAGGAAAGAAGAAUGACUUGGAGGUUUAUCUGGGAGGACUCGCCAAGAAGCUAUUCCUUAUGCUCGAAGGUAACUCCUUAUCUCCGAUUGGUAAUUACUGACUUGCUGUAAGGGCAUUAGCUUAUCCUUGAAUCGUGUCCACAGAAUUCUGCCAAAACUUUGAAGAGGAGACUAGUCGAGUGGAGACUGGCUUAGAUCCUAUCAAUUCUCCGGUGAAGGAUGAAACCGCUAUGAACGUGCUCCGCCUCGAGUCUCGCGUUGCUGCAGUGGUCGAUUACCUUGCAAGACUGAAGGCCACAACGUCGCGCAUCGACACAUCGCUCUGGCCAGAAGAAACGCUUCAGAACGACCUUGAGUCGCUGAUGACUCGACUGAACGAAGUUCCGAGUCGAGUGCAAGAAUGGAAGAAGUCUUCUGCCAGGUGCGGUGCUGACGUCGCUCUGUCCUUGGUCCGCGUCCACUGCAAGGAAGCGAGAGAAGACAAGUUGGUGUCUCUCAAGGUGGCCAACACUAGGAAGCAUGACUUCCGUUCUUUCAUGGAGACCUUCAUCGCGGCUGCCACUCGGAUCGCAGAUGGGAUAGACCUGGACGAGUUCUUUGCGCCUUCCAGCCCUCCGCAGGAGGGGUAAAAAACUUCUAUGCUCGAUGAUUUGAAUUUGCCUCAGAAUGCCGAGUGAUUUUUGUAACCGCCAAACUUUAACAGGCUUGAUGCCUGAGCACUUCUGGGUCCGUAGGACGUUAUCCGAACUUGAUUUGCCGUUGAAAUAUGUUUGCUUCUUUCGGACAAUCAUCUUCUUUGGGUUGGAGUAUAUACUAGCAUCUGUGAUGCUCUUUUGCAGGUAGGAGUGAAGCACAAAUUGCCGUCGGCCUGUGCUCGUCAUGUCUGGGCGAGUGCUUGGUUGCGACCAGGCCUCCGAGUGAGAAACUUGUUCUUAGGCGAGCACUGGGCUGCAACUAAGCCCCUGAAUGGGAGGUUUGCUCUCCACUCGGUAGGAUUUUAGAAACUUAGGCGAGCACUGGGCUGCAGCUAAGCCCCUGAGUGGGAGGUUUGCUCUCCACUCGGUAGGAUUUUCAAAAUCUUAGGCGGGCACUGGGCUGCAGCUAAGCCCCCGAGUGGGAGGUUUGCUCUCCACUCGGUAGGAUUUUAGAAAUUUAGGCGAGCACUGGGCUGCAGCUAAGCCUCCGAGUGGGAGGUUUGCUCUCCACUCGGUAGGAUUNNNNNNNNNNNNNNNNNNNNNNNNNNNNNNNNNNNNNNNNNNNNNNNNNNNNNNNNNNNNNNNNNNNNNNNNNNNNNNNNNNNNNNNNNNNNNNNNNNNNNNNNNNNNNNNNNNNNNNNNNNNNNNNNNNNNNNNNNNNNNNNNNNNNNNNNNNNNNNNNNNNNNNNNNNNNNNNNNNNNNNNNNNNNNNNNNNNNNNNNNNNNNNNNNNNNNNNNNNNNNNNNNNNNNNNNNNNNNNNNNNNNNNNNNNNNNNNNNNNNNNNNNNNNNNNNNNNNNNNNNNNNNNNNNNNNNNNNNNNNNNNNNNNCUAAGCCUCCGAGUGGAAGGCUGGCUUACCACUCGGUAGGAUUUUAGAAACUUAGGUGAGCAGUGGGCUCCAGCUAAGCCCCCGAGUGGGAGGUUUGCUCUCCACUCGGUAGGAUUUUCAAAAUCUUAGGCGAGCACUGGGCUGCAGCUAAGCCUCCGAGUGGAAGGCUGGCUUACCACUUGGUAGGAUUUUAGAAACUUAGGCGAGCACUGGGCUGCAGCUAAGCCUCCGAGUGGAAGGCUGGCUUACCACUCAGUAGGAUUUUCAAAAUCUUAGGCGAGCACUGAGCUGCAGCUAAGCCCCCGAGUGGAAGGCUGGCUUACCACUCGGUAGGAUUUUGUUUACUUAGGCGAAACGGAUUCGCAGCUAAGCCUCCGAGUGGAAGGCUGGCUUACCACUCGGUAGGAUUUUUUACAAGCUUAGGCGAACCAGGUUCGCAGCUAAGCCACCCACUGGGGGACAGAUUUAUGAGAGUAAAAGCAAUAACAAUUACUAAGAAAAUUAUGAAACUCUUGUCUUUGAUGAAUACACUACAGGAGUACUUUUAUUACAACUCAUCCGAGUGAAAAACUUAAGUAUAAAAAGGGCGAAGUAAGUCCGCGUUCCAUGCUCUGGGCUCAUCAAUCUGGUGCUCGACAUUGUAAAGGCGGUAUGCCCCGUUAUGGAGAACCUUGGUAACGAUGAAGGGACCUUCCCAAGUAGGAGCAAGCUUGUGUGAUUUCUGCUGAUUCACUCGGAGAACUAAAUCUCCCUCCUGGAAAGCUCGACUCUUCACAUUUCUGGCAUGGAAGCGACGCAAGUCCUGCUGAUAAAUGGUCGAUCGGAUCAAGGCCAUCUCCCUUUCUUCUUCUAGAAGGUCGACCGCGUCCUGUCGGGCUUGCUCUGCUUCAGCUUUGGUGUAGAGUUCGACUCAAGGUGCGUUGUGAAGCAGGUCACUCGGCAAGACUGCUUCAGCUUCGUAGACCAAGAAGAACGGAGUCCUCCCAGUCGACCGGUUUGGCGUGGUCCUUAAUCCCGAAAGCUCCGACGGAAGUUCGUCGACCCAUGCGCCAGCUGCGUGCUUGAGGUCGUCCAUCAGUCGGGGUUUCAACCCUUUGAGAAUUAAGCCGUUUGCUCGUUCUGCUUGCCCAUUCGACUGAGGGUGGGCAACGGAAGCAUAAUCGACUCGUGUACCCUGAGAUGCGCAGAAGGCUCUGAAUUCUUCAGAGUCGAAGUUUGACCCAUUGUCUGUGAUGAUACUGUGGGGAACUCCAUAUCUGAAUAUCAACUCCCUGAUGAAGCUGACGGCGGUGCCGGCAUCCAGAUUCUUGAUGGGUUUAGCCUCAAUCCACUUAGUGAACUUUUCGACUGCUACCAAUACAUGGGUGUAGCCGUUUCUGCCUGUUCUCAGUGGUCCAACCAUAUCCAACCCCCAUACAGCAAAAGGCCAGACGAGAGGAAUGGUCUUCAAGGCUGAGGCGGGUUUGUGUGACAUAUUGGAGUAGAAUUGACAUCCUUCACACUUGUCGACUAUCUCUUUUGCCAUCUCAUUUGCUCUGGGCCAGUAAAAACCCGCUCGGUAUGCUUUAGCCACGAUGGUCCGAGAGGACGCAUGAUGGCCACAGGUCCCCGAGUGGAUGUCAUUGAGAAUCAUUCGACCUUCUUCCGGUGUUAUGCACUUCUGGCUGACUCUAGUCGCACUUUCUCUGUACAACUGACCCCUCAUGACGGUGAAGGCUUUAGAUCAACGGACGAUCUCUCGAGCCUCUUCUUCAUUCUCGGGGAGCUCUUUCCUCAGAAUAUGGGCGAUAUAGGGCACUGUCCAGUCGGGAGUGAUGACUAGAACUUCCAUGAUUAAGUCGACCACAGCUGGGACCUUGACUUCAGUCGGAUCUGUGGCGCUUUUCGGCUGCGUGGCUUCCUCAGUGAAAGGAUCUUCUUGAGCCGAUGGCGUGUGAACAUGCUCCAAAAACACGCCACUCGGAAUGGCUUCCCUCUUGGAACCUAUCUUGGCCAAGUCAUCGGCUGCUUGAUUUUUCAGUCGGGGGACGUGAUGGAGCUCUAAUCCCUCAAAUUUCUUCUCCAGCUUUCUGACUGCAUUGCAGUAUCCGGUCAUGGCUGGGCUUCUGACGUCCCACUCCUUCAUCACUUGGUUGACCACUAAGUCCGAGUCACCGUAGACCAUGAGGCGACGGACGCCGAGUGAAAUGGCCAUACGCAACCCGUACAAGAGUGCUUCGUAUUCUGCUUCAUUGUUGGAGGAAUCAAAGUGAAUCUGGAGUACAUAUCUGAGCUUAUCUCCUCGGGGGGAAACCAAGACCACUCCGGCACCGGAACCAUUCAGCAUUUUGGAGCCAUCGAAGAACAUAGUCCAGUGCUCCGAGUGAACUUGGGUCGGUAACUGCUGUUCAGUCCACUCGGCGAGAAAAUCUGCUAUUGCUUGGGACUUGAUAGCUUUCUUUGCCUCAAAUCUGAUAUCUAGGGGAAGAAGUUCAAUCGCCCAUUUUGCCACUCGACCGGUUGCGUCUCUGUUGUGCAGAAUCUCUGAUAAGGGGGCGUCGGUGACGACUGUGAUAAUAUGGUCAGAGAAGUAAUGAGAAACUUUCUUCGUGGUCAUAUAAAUCCCAUAUACAAGCUUCUGAUAAUGAGGGUAUCGUUGCUUGGAUGGGGUCAGGACUUCGGAAAUGUAAUAUACUGGGCGCUGAACUUUGAAGGCUUUCCCUUCUUCUUCCCGCUCGACCGUAAGUACAGUACUGACGACUUGUCCUGUGGCUGCAAUGUAAAGCAGCAAAGGCUCUUUGUUGAUUGGGGCAGCAAGCACCGGCUGGGUGGAAAGCAGAGUUUUUAACUCUGCAAACGCUGCAUCAGCUUCUGGAGUCCACUCGAACUUGUCUGACUUCUUCAUCAGUCGGUAAAGAGGCAAUGCCUUUUCACCGAGGCAAGACAUGAAUCGACUUAACGCGGCCAAGCAUCCAGUAAGUUUCUGGACAUCAUGCACACGCACGGGGCGUUUCAUUCGGAGUAUAUUGCCAACUUUUUCUGGGUUGGCGUCGAUUCCUCGUUCGGAAACGAGAAAACCGAGUAACUUUCCAGGAACUCCGAAUGUGCACUUUGAUGGAUUAAGCUUGAUAUCAUACCUCCUGGGGUUGGUAAAUGUUUCAGCAAGGUCAGUCAGUAGGUCGGAACCUUUCCGUGACUUGACCACAAUGUCAUCCAUGUACGCUUCCACAUUCCGACUGAUUUGAGUGAGCAAACACUUCUGAAUCAUCCUCAUGAAUGUGGCUCCGGCAUUCUUGAGGCUGAAUGGCAUGGUGACAUAACAGAAGCACCCGAAUGGGAUGAUGAAAGCCGUUUUGAUCUCAUCGGGUCCAAACAGACGGAUCUGAUGGCACCCGGAAUAAGCAUCCAAGAAAGAAAGUCGCUCACAUCCCGCAGUCGAGUCGACUAUUUGGUCGAUGCGGGGAAGAGGAAAAUGAUCUUUCGGGCAGGCCCGAUUGAUAUGCUUGAAAUCGAUGCACAUGCGAAGCGAAUUGUCCUUUUUGGGGACCAUAACGACAUUGGCAAGCCACUCGGAGUGGUAAAUCUCUCGGAUAAACUCUGCUGCUAGGAGCCGAGCCACUUCUUCGCCAAUGGCCUUCCUUUUCUGGACGGUGGACCAUCGCAGAUGUUCCUCCACAGGUUUUGCCUUUGAAUCGACUCGUAGGUGAUGCUCAGCUAGUCCCCUGGGUACACCCGGCAUGUCAGAAGGUUUCCAUGCAAAAAUGUCCCAGUUCUCACGGAGGAACUGGAUGAGCGCUUCUUCCUAUUUGGGGUUGAGUGUUGUGGAGAUAUGAGUCGGAGCAGCGUUAGGGUCGGUCGGGUGGAUGUGAACGGGUUUUGUCUCACCAGACGACUGGAACGCUGAUUCCGUAGCAGGCUUCUUGGCUCGCAACAAAUCACUCGGGUCUGCAUUCCUUUGGUGUUCCUGCCACUCUUCUGCCACCAUCUGAGCAUCGGCGAUCUUUGAGCCUUUUUGGAAGCACUCUUCUGCCUUCCUGCGGUUACCAGUGACAGUGAUCACGCCUUUAGGGCCAGGCAUCUUUAGUUUGAGGUACACGUAACAUGGUCGAGCCAUAAAACGUGCAUAAGUUGGCCUCCCAAAAUUGCAUGAUAGGCACUCUAGAAAUCCAUGACCUCAAAUGUCAGCUUCUCUUUGCGAAAAUUCUUUGAAUCACCAAAAACUACGUCAAGAGCAAUCUGGCCGAGUGAUGCGGCCUUCUUGCCAGGGAUGACUCCAUAAAAACUCAUGUUGCUUGUGCUCAGCCUGGACAUCGGAAUGCCCAUCCCUUUCAGCGUCUCAGCAUACAGUAUAUUCAAACUGCUGCUGCCAUCCAUCAACACUUUGGUCAGUCGAGUGCCUUCAACGACGGGGUCGACCACUAGCGCUUGCCUCCCAGGGGUGGCUAUGUGCGUGGGGUGGUCAGAUUGGUCGAAUGUAAUGGCAGUCUGAGACCACUUCAGGUAAUUGGGUGUUGACGGAGCAGCCAUAUUUACCUCUCGGUUUAUAACUUUCAGUCGGUUUUUGCUCUCAACAUCGGCAAAAAUCAUCAAGGUGGAAUUGACCUACGGAUAUUCCCCGUCACUAUCCUCCUUGUCCUCAACCUUAUCCGACUCUUUUUCUUUGUCCUUAGACUGCUUCCCUUGGAACUGCUGUAUCAGGAGUCGACACUGUCGAGUGGUAUGCUUCGAGUAGAUGAAAUUACCCUCUUCGUCUUUCUUGGUGUGGAUGUGACAUGGUAAAUCCAACACGUCAUUUCCUUCUUUAUCUUUUACUUUCUUGGGGUUCCAAGGCCCCUUGGGUUUCCCUUUGAACUUUCCUUGGUUCAGGGCCAAGGCUUCUCUAGGAGCGGCUGGCUCGGCUUUACGCUUUUGCUUCCGAGUGGAAUUUCCGCCUCCGGUGUCCUGGGCGACUGACUUGUGCUUCCCGCUCCGGAGCCGAUCCUCUUCCUCGCCAUUAGCAUAUUUGGUGGCAAUUUCCAUCAUUCGGCUCAAAGACAUGUCUCUGGUUCGACCGAAUUUCAGACUUAGCUCUCUGUACUUUACGCCCUCCUUGAAGGCGCAAACUGCCUGGUGAUCAGAUACAUUUUCUACUGUGUGAUGCAGCGUGAUCCAUCUCUUGAUGUAAUCCCUCAGAGUCUCAUUCGACUUCUGUACACAAGAUUGCAGCUCUGUCAGUCCCGCCGGCCGCUUGCACGUUCCUUCAAACGUCCUGACAAACACUCGGGAGAGGUCCUCCCACGUGUAGAUGCCGCUGGGUGUCAACUGAUUCAGCCAUGCCCUGGCUGACCCUUCCAACAUGAGAGGCAGAUGUUUCAUGGCCACCUCGUCAUUUCCACCGCCGAUCUGAACAGCCACUCGGUAGUCCUCAAGCCAAGUAUCGGGCUUGGACUCACCGUUGAACUUGCUGACUCCAGUCGCCAACCUGAAGUUGGGAGGAAUCACCGCGGCUCUGAUGGCUCUGCUGAAACACUCUGGUCCGGAGACGUGCACUCGGCUGCUGGUGGGUACAUCUCUGUCAUUACCCUCUCUGUGGGCUCUGUUCCGGUCGACCAAACCUUGAACGAUGAUGGAUCUCGCAUCAAAGCCUAGUUCCCUGGGAUCGACUGGAAUUCUUCGUCCGCCACUGUACUGGCGUUUGUCAUCCUGCUGUCGAGGCAUAUAUGAUCCACCCCUCCCGGGGGGAGUGGGCACUCGACGUCGAUCGUUGCGAUCGACUCGGUGAUCAUCCUGCUCAUAGUUCCUGUACUGAUCGUGUCGGUCACCAUGCCCUUCACGCCUCGGGGGCGAUCUGGGGCUAUGAGCUGACUGGACAGUAUUCGCCGCCACGGACCUGCUAUGAAUCCUGUUCCGUGACUACGACACAGCCGAAUUCUGAUCUCCAGCUGCCCGGAGAAAAUCCCUGAUCUGCAUCAAGCCUCUGCCAGCCUCUGACUGGGAAGGCUGAAUCGACUCUGCUAUAUGUGUUGCAGCUGCCAAAUUCUGGAUUGGAGUGCGGUAUACCUGAGUCGGAGGUUUAAAGAGUUGGCGUCGACUGGAGUCUGGAAUCCGUUGCCGCGCGCGCUCGUCGAGUGCCCGCUGAAGGUUCUCUAGUCGAGCGCGCUCAGCCAGGUUGGCCAAGCGCGCGUCCUCUAAGGCGCGAGCCUCAGGGGUUUCUCCAAUGAUCGGAGUAUGAAGCGCAUCCAUGUUCCGGCGGCGAAGCUCUUCCCUCUACUGCGAGUCGAGGGGCUCGGGGCGAUACUCCUCAUGGUCGUGCGACGGGUGGCCUCCGCCGUUGCCUCCCUCGGUGCUAGGAAAGCCGGGGGGAACAUGCGGUUCAUUGACCAUCAGGACCUCCGCCACUGGAUCACUGCUGUUGCAUUCGAAUGCAGUCUCUACGGAGCCAGUCGACAGGUCGAACAUGCCGUAGAGAGAUUCGUCGGGCUCGAUUGCCGCAACUUGGGCAGUGGUCGACUGGCGAGCCACUGCGUGCCUCACCCACCGCUGAAGCCUCGACCGACCGGAGCGCUUACGCUGGCGGGAAGCUGGGAGGAAGGAUGACAUGAAAACUGGCCGAUACCGAGUCGACGGCUGCCGCAGAAGGACGUCGCGGACGCAUGCUCGAAAGUGCGUAGCUCCGCGGACCAGGAGCGCAUCCACGUCAAGCGGAGCCUCCUGCAGCCAGGCAGAGUCGUCGGCGACGAAUGUGAGCGCGCCGAGACGGAUCUCGCGGCCCUCAACCAAAACUCCACCUGAAACCAUGAUGAUGGGAAUGGAAAAGAUUGCAACUUCUCCAACAAGUCGCUAAGACACCUGCCCCACGGUGGGCGCCAACUGUCGUGGUUCUAAGCCUGACAGUAGAAUGGGGGGUAGGUAUGGAGAGGCAAGAUCCUAGCUAUGGAGCAGUUGUGCACACAAGUGUUUUACGAGUUCAGGCCCUUCUCGGAGGAAGUAACAGCCCUAUGUCUCGGAGCCCGGAGGCGGUCGACUAAUUAUGUGUGUGAGAGUUACAGGGGUGCGAACCCUUCUACCAGUGGAGGGGGGUGGCUUAUAUAGAGGAUGUCAAGACCCCAGCCAUCCCACGUAGCAGAGGGUUAAAGUACAUUAAGGUCUGGCGUUACUGGUAACGCCCUACAUAAAGUGCCAUCAUGACCAUUAAGACUACUUAAUUACAGACCGUUUGGAUACAGAGCAGAUCUUGAAUUCCUGGUGGUCGAGUGAGUCUUCAUGGUCGAGUAUCUUCAGGUUCGUCGAGUGUCUUCUAGUCCGUCGAGUGGAGUCCCUCUUGGUCGACUGGAAGACGGCUUCUUCUAAGAGAUGUCCUUGGGGAGGGUACCUUGGUCAGGUUCAUGACCCUACCCUAGGUACAUGACUUCAUCAGUUUCUCCUCAGCCGUUCCCAAAAGGCCAAGGAAGAAAUCGUAGAUGUGGGCGAAAAUCUCAUCUUGGUGUACUAACACCCCGUGGUUAGCUUGAAGCCUAAGAAUCGAGCAUUUGUGCUUGCGACCAUUGGCAUACGCGUGGAAAUAGCCAGUGUUAGUGUCGCCCUUGGUAACCAUAUGAGGCAGUCAAAACCUCGGCUCUUCCGGCCGCACCACCCCCAGGGGCUUUGCCCAAUAAAUAGCAGCAGCAACCCAGGAGGAAAAGGGCAUGUUUUCGAGGGGCGGCCAGGGAGGAGCAGGUUGAGGCCAUGCCACCAUGUCGGGCCGGUCGGAGGACACAACAGUUGGAGGAAGACCCGAACUUCGCUAGAUCGGAUCUGGCGUGGAGCAGGAGGGGGUGUCACGCUGCGCCAGGGCGGCUCGGGUCCGAGCCGCCCGCUGUCACCAUCCCGGGGCGCCGUGCGGCUUCAUUGGCAGGCCCUCCGUUGACGCCGAUGCGGAGGGAGAUAGCGGCGGUGGCUAGGGUUCCCUCGUGUCACCAGACGGGGAUGAGUUUCACCAAAUGAGACACACACAAGAAUGAAAAAUUCACGGGAAAAUAACUAUUAUACAUAAAAAACAAGGAUAUAGAGAGAUUGUAGAAAGGGAUCGGAUAGUUAUUUUUGUAUGUGACUUGUUGUAAAUUACUUAACUUAAGAAAGAAAAAAACAUAACAUAAAAAAAUAGUAAGUAAGAUGAGAUUCAACAUCCUCUACAUAUUUAAUCUCUUCCCCUAUACAAAAACUAGCAAGACCCACUCGCUUGGUAUACCAACCAAUAACACCAUGAUGAUCAAAAACCUCUAUUAGUUUGGUUAAUCCUCUUAUACUGAGGAUAAAAACCCUAUUAUACAAAAUAUCUAUAUAACCAUGUUUAUAUGACCAAUUGUAUUAUUUUUUACGUUCCUUUCUGUUCAUAUGGUUUGUAAUGAAGUAAAUGGCGGGUGUUUUUCUCAUUAGAUUUGUAGGUUGACCAGAUUAAGCACGGUGACUUAAGAAAUUGUUUGCUAUUUACUUCUAUGGCAGUUUCCUACCCUUGCAAUUUGGCCAUGUGAAUUAAUAUGUUGUAUGGUGGUGGCAUGACAAUAUUUUGGGAAUAAAAAUUCUUAUAACAUGGCAAAUUUAUGUUUUUUUAGUUCAUUCACACGGCAAUUUUUUUGAAAAUUUUCUGUCCUAAAUCAUGGAAAAUUUAGGUAAUUGUUUGUAAUGGUCACACGUGAAAUGUAGGGUUUUGCUGUUCUAUACAACAAUCCAUGUUUUUGAAAAUGUUUUAGUAGUCGCCAAACGAUAAAUUCCCAAUACUUCUGUACAUUUGCAUGGUAAAAAAAUUAGGACAAUUUUUCUGUCCCAAAUGACGGAAAUUUCAAUUUAUUUGUUGUCAUUUUCACAUGGCAAAUGUAGGUAUUCUGUUUCUGAGUUGGACCAUGGAAAAAGAAUUGUAUUUACCAUGACAUCUUUAUUGUAAUUUUCCAUUUUACUAUGUAUUCGUAGAUACUAUGGCAUAUUAUUUUCUUGAACAUAGUUUUUUUUUGCCAUGACCCUUUUCAGAAAAAUAAAUCCACUCAUCUAUGAUUUCCCUACCUUUUGCCAUUAUAUAGACUUGAAAAAAUGUACACAUAUGACAAAUUUGAUUUGUCCGAGUUUGAACAAGCCAAUUUGAACUGCGAUGACACAUGGAAUUUUUUGUUUCCUUUGCCAUGUCCAUGUCCAAAAGUAGGAAAACGAGAUUUUGCCAGAUCUCAUCUACAUUUUUGACAAUCCAUGGUGACAUGAUUUCAUGACGCAUGGCAAUUUGGUUUGAUGACAUAUGGUAAUUUUGGGCAUGUCCAUGUCCAAAAUGAAACUGAUUUUGCCAUGUCUCAUCUACAUUUUAUCCUACAUUUGCCAUGGCAAGCAAGAUCCUUUGUAAUACCUUUUGAUAAUUUAAUUACAUGUUUGGCCAUGCCAACUAAAUAUACCUCAAUUGUUCCUUCUCUUUUUAGAUGAUGACAUAAUAACAUGUGUUCCCAUGGAAAAUUUGAAAUAUUUUUUAGGAUCUAUUUUGGUAAUUUUACCAUGUUUUAUUUACAUUUCUUCCAAUAUUUUCCAUGGCUAUCAACAUUCUUUUUGUUGUCUUUAGCAAUUAAGCUCUCAAUUUUGUCAUGGAAACUAAAUAUCCUUAACUUUUGUGUUCCCAUGGCAAUUUUUGGAAAACAAAUUGCUAUUUCUCCAUGCCUCAUGUAAGACUUUUUUACUACAUUUUCCAUGGCAAAAGAAGAUCUUCUUAUUGCCUUGGCAAUAAAAUUUAUUUUUUCCCAUGCCAACUAAAUAUACUUCAAUUGGAGUUUUUGUAGCAUGGCAGAUUUUGGUUCGCAAAUUUAGAUGCACAAUAUUUUUUAAUAAUAAAUAUAACUUGACAUACCAUGGUCAAUUCUUUUGGUACAUUUAUUUUUGGACAUGGCAAAUUAGAAAUUUUGAUAAAUUAUUUUGUUUAUGCCACAGCAAAUUUGUUUUUACAUGACUAUUUCAAAAAAAAUGUUUUACCAUCUUCUCUUAUGAAACAAUUUCUUUGGUAAAUCUGCUAUGUGAUGGCUACAAAUAAUUUUGGAAUUUUGCAUGCUCUAUACAAACAAUUUUCCCUUAAUUGAUAUGUGACAUUUUACACUUUUCUUCCAAAUCUUGCCAUGACUAACUUUUUAUUUCACAAUGGCAAGAUUUGCAUUCAUUAGUAAAAUUCAAACUUUCCACGGCCAUCGAAUUGCACUGCUAGACCAUGGCUGGUUUUGCAUUCAUGGCGAAGAAAAAUAAAAUCAAAAUAUUAAACAAAAUUGCGUUGCUAGGCCAUCGCAAUUUGUGUCUUGGCAAAUUUAUUUUAAUGGACAUGGAAAAUUUAUUUUCAAAGCCAUGUCAAUUUAGUUUUCCCUAUACCAUGACAAAAUUGUCUUUGACAUCCAUGGCAAAUUUAGUUUUUCGACAGUUUUUAAAAUCCCGCACCUUAAGUUCAUUACAAUCAGAGUCUAAAAACUACAAUCAGUACAACUUUUUAAGUGUUAUUUUACGAUGAGAAAAAUGUUCACACGUCAACUUUUUGUCUUUUUUUCAUCAUACACAUGGCAAAUUUGUAUACAAAAUGUAUUCAUUAAAUCCUGCCAAGUCUAGAUGUCUUCCAAUACUUGUUUGAAGUGGGGGUUGGGGGUUAGGAACCGAAGGGAGGGGGUAUUUUCAAUUUUACUCUUCAUCCGAGCUCAUUUGAGCUCGAGCUCAGAUUCUUCGCAUCCGUAAAUACCUUGCUUUUUUUAGACAAUAAUGCAUACCUUGCUCGCAGUGAAAUUCCGCGGACUGGGAAAUCAGAAAAUAGCAGAAAAAUACGAGUACUACGGUUAGGGUUUCAAAAAACUACCUAUUUUUUCAAAUACCUACCAACUAUCUGGCUUUUCGUUUUGGAAAACUAAGAGUAACCAACAAUUUUGUUAACGGACUUAGCUUUUCCUCCCAUAUCCUUGACGGUUAGGUCAAACUCUCCCCUCCAAGCUUCAAUGGCAAGACCAUGAAUUCUCCUCCGCUAUGUUUGCUGCUCUGGUGGCCGGUGGCAGGGAGGCGAACUACGGUGCCUCUGCUCGUGUAAGUAGUUUAGGUUAAGUUAUUUUAGUACUUGCAGGUGCAUCCCUCGGGCGGAUGGCGACGCUUCUUCUUUGAGUUUGUCUCCUAGGCUCCAAUCAUCCUCGAGUUCAUCCAUCUAGACGUAGUCGACGGAGCUACAGCGUAGAUUUUUUAUGUCUCCUUGGAUGGUGAGUUUAGGGUGUCUCGCCGCGUGGCAAGAUUUUCAUUUCAGAUGCUUCAGAUAUAUUCAAGGCUUCAACGGCGAUGACCACAGAUCUAGGGCAUUGAUCCUUAGGGACACAUGCAUGAAGACUUCUGGGUUUUCAUCGAUAAGAUUAAGCCAGCUUCGUUGGAGGAGCAACAACAACGACACGACAGUGGCUUGUUCUAGCAAUGGCAGUGGUCAUUUGAUGGUCUUGGAAUCUCGAUGUAAUUUUAUUAUGUUUGAGGUGCUUUGUUCUUCUAUGAACUUUGAUGGAUCAUUUUCAUAAUAAAAAGUGGAAGGUAUUUGCGAAAAAAAUAAAAUUAGGUAGUUUUUUAGAACCUUAACGAUUCCGAUAGUUUUAUGCUAUUUACUCGAGAAAUCAAGGCACGCCCAGUCAAAACUCACACCGACCAAGUUUUUUUCGGAAAGGACCACCAGCUAACCAGUGGAUUCGCCUCCCCUCUGCCUGCCGCUCCAGUGACCGGUGGCGCAGAGGGAAAUCCUGGUGCCUUGACUCUGGCUAGUAGUUUAUGUUAGGGUUCGUUAGUCCUCGCAUGGGUGAUGCUCGGGCAGAUGGCGGUGCAUCAUCUUUGAGUUGGUCUUCUGGGCUCUGAUCCUUCUUGAAUUCUUCUGUUAGGAUGGAGUCAACAAAGCUCCAACGUACAUUCCUGGCAUCUCCUUGGGGGCGUUGAGGUUAAGAUUUAUCCCCGUAUGUGCGCGACGGAAAGAUUUAGUGUUAGACACUUUAGAUUAAUUCAAGGAUUAAAGGGUUUAACGAUGACGAGCGCGACUCCAAGGAGCUAGUCCUUAGAGGCACGUGCACGAAGACUUCUCGGUUGUCAUCGACAAAGUCAGGUCGGCUCCGAUAUUGGAGCAAUGACAACUGCGCAUCAGCCACUCGUUCUGGCAACGGUAGUAGUCGUUUGGUGGUACAGGAAUCUCGAUAUAAUUUUCAUUAUGUUUGGGAUACUUUGUACUUCAAGUGAACUCUCUUAAUAGAUCAAUUCCUUUUCGCAAAAAAAAGAAACAAGAGUUUUUUCUUUUUACAUGAGGAGGAACUAGACUUGCUCGUAGCCAUCCACCCACAAACACUUAAAUUACCGAGGCAUCUUCGACACCGACCGUUAAGCUGUCUACAACCGUCUGGACUGUUUAGACGUGUUUUGCCAUCCAAAGCGGAUCUGUAUCAGUCCGCCGACCUAUCUGGAUGUGCUCUUUCCCGCAAAUUGGAAACAAACUUGAAAGGGUGGGACUUUGUGGGCGUCCGAACUGCUGCCACGCCCGCUUCUAACUACCUUGGCCCAACCAAAAAACCCUUCAUCGUCAGCGCCCGAAGGCAGCUGCCCACAUUAAUGUAGCUCUAGAGCAGCCGCCCCGCAUUGACACCAGCCUAGAGCGGACGUGACCUCUUGUUGGCGCUGGCAUUGAAGUGGCUCGCUGGCCGAGGAUGCCGCCUGCUGCAUGUCCGAUGUCCGUGCUUGUUCAAUGCAGGAAAGUUGUUGAUGUCUACUACACAACCUUCUUCUUGUAGACGUUGUUGGACCUGCAAGUGCACAGGUUUGUAGGACAGUAGCAAAUUUCGCUCAAGUGGAUGACCUAAGGUUUAUCAAUCCGUGGGAGGCGUAGGAUGAAGAUGGUCUCUCUCAAACAACCCUGCAACCAAAUAACAAAGAGUCUCUUGUGUCCCCAACACACCCAAUACAAUGGUAAAUUGUAUAGGUGCACUAGCUCGGCGAAGAGAUGGUGAUACAAGUGCAAUAUGGAUGGUAGAUAUAGGUUUUUGUAAUCUGAAAUAAUAAAAACAGCAAGGUAACUAAUGGUAAAAGUGAGCGUAAACGGUAUUGCAAUUAUAGGAAACAAGGCCUAGGGUUCAUACUUUCACUAGUGCAAGUUCUCUCAACAAUAAUAACAUAGAUAGAUCAUAUAACAAGCCAUCAACAUGCAACAAAGAGUCACUCCAAAGCCACUAAUAGCGGAGAACAAACGAAGAGAUUAUGGUAGGGUACGAAACCACCUCAAAGUUAUUCUCUCGGAUCAAUCUAUUUAAGAGUUCGUACUAGAAUAACACCUUAAGACACAAAUCAACCAAAACCCUAAUGUCACCUAGAUACUCCAUUGUCACCUCAAGUAUCGGUGGGCAUGAUUAUACGAUAUGCAUCACACAAUCUCAGAUUCAUCUAUUCAAACAACACAAAGUAUUUCAAAGAGUGCCCCAAAGUUUCUACCGGAGAGUCAAGAACGUGUGCCAACCCCUAUGCAUAGGUUCAUGGGCGGAACCCGCAAGUUGGUCACCAAAACAUACAUCAAGUGGCACAUGAUACCCCAUUGUCACCACAGAUAAGCACGGCAAGACAUACAUCAAGUGUUCUCAUAAAAGACUCAAUCCGAUAAGAUAACUUCAAAGGGGAAACUCAAUUCAUCACAAGAGAGUAGAGGGGGAGAAACAUCAUAAGAUCCAACUACAAUAGCAAAGCUCGGGAUACAUCAAGAUCGUGCCAUAGAGGGAACACGAGAGAGAACACGAGAGAGAGAGAUCAAACACAUAGCUACUGGUACAUACCCUCAGCCCCGAGGGUGAACUACUCCCUCCUCGUCAUGGAGAUCGCCGGGAUGAUGAAGAUGGCCACCGGUGAUGGAUUCCCCCUCCGGCAGGGUGCCGGAACGGGCUCCCGAGAGGUUUUUGGUGGCUACAGAGGCUUGCGGCAGCGGAACUCCUGAUCUAUCUUGAUUUCUAAUGGUUUUAGGGUACGUAGGUAUAUAUAGGCGAAAGAAGUCGGUCGGGGGGUGCUCGAGGGGUCCACGAGACAGGGGGCCGCUCCCUGUAGGGGGGAGCCCCCUAUCUCCUGGGCUCCUCGAGUAUCUUUUGACUUGAUCUCCAAGCCUCCAGGAUGAUAUUCUUCCAAAAAAUCACGAUGCCGAAGGUUUCAUUCCGUUUGGACUCCGUUUGAUAUUCCUUUUCUUCGAAAUACUGAAACAGGCAAUAAAACAGCAAUAUGGGCUGGGCCUCCGGUUAAUAGGUUAGUCCCAAAAAUGAUAUAAAUGUGUAAAAUAAAGCCCAUAAACAUCCAAAAGGGGUAAUAUAAUAGCAUGGAACAAUCAAAAAUUAUAGAUACAUUGGUGACGUAUCAAGCAUCCCCAAGCUUAAUUCCUGCUCAUCCUCGAGUAGGUAAAUGAUAAAAACAGAAUUUUUGAUGUGGAAUGCUACCUAGCAUAAUUCUCAAUGUAAUUUUCUUUAUUGUGGCAUGAAUGUUCAGAUCCAAAUGAUUCAAAAUAAAAGCUUAUAAAACAUAAAAAGAAUAAUGCUUCAAAGCAUACUAACAAAUAAUCAUGUCCUAUCAAAAUAGCAUAGCCAAAGAAAGCUUAUCCCUACAAAAUCAUAUAGUUAGGCCAUGCUUCAUUUUUAUUACACAAAAUACUCCCAUCAUGCACAACCCCGAUGACGAGCCGAGCAAUUGGUUCAUACUUUUUAACGCGCUUCAGCUUUUUCAACUCUUACACAAUACAUGAGCGCAAGCCAUGGACAUAGCACUAUGGUGGUAUAUGGUGGUGGUUGUGAGGACAAAAAGGGAGAAGAUAGUCUCACAUCAACUAGGCGUAUUAAUGGCCUAUGGAGAUGCCCAUCAAUAGAUAUCAAUGUGAGUGAGUAGGGAUUGCCAUGCAACGAAUGCACUAGAGCUAUAAAUAUAUGAAAGCUCAACAAAAGAAGUGGGUGUGCAUCCAACUCGCUUGCUCACGAAGACCUAGGGCAUUUUGAGGAAGCCCAUCAUUGGAAUAUACAAGCCAAGUUCUAUAAUGAAAAAUUCCCACUAGUAUAUGAAAGUGACAACAUAGGAGACUCUCUAUCAUGAAGAUCAUGGUGCUACUUUGAAGCACAAGUGUGGAAAAAGAGAUAGUACAUCGUCCCUUCUCUCUUUUUCUCUCAUUUUCUUUUUUUUUCUUUUUUUCUCCUUCCCUUUUUUUCUUUGGCCUUUCUUUUUUUUCUUUUUGGCCUUUCUCCUUUUUUCCUCUUUUUUUUUCUUUUUUGUAAAGUCCGAAGUCUCAUCCCGACUUGUGGGGAAAUCAUAGUCUUUAUCAUCCUUUCCUCACUGAGACAAUGCUCUAAUAAUGAAGAUCAUCACACUUUUAUGGAUUUACAACUCAAAGCUAGAACAAGAUAUGACUCUAUACGAAUGCCUCCGGCGGUGUACCGGGAUAUGCAAUGAAUCAAGAGCGACAUGUAUGAAAAUUAUGAAGGUGGCCUUGCCACAAAUACGAUGUCAACUACAUGAUCAUGCAAAGAGCAAUAUGACAAUGAUGGAACGUGUCAUAAUAAACGGAACGGUGGAAAGUUGCAUGGCAAUAUAUCUCGGAAUGGCUAUGGAAAUGCCAUAAUAGGUAGGUAUGGUGGCUGUUUUGAGGAAGGUAAAUAAUGGGUGCAAUACCGGCGAAAGUUGCACGGUAUAAUAGAGGCUAGCAAAGUGGAAGGAUGAGUGUGCGUAUAUCCAUAGACUCACAUUAGUCAUAAAAAACUCAUAUACUUAUUGCAAAAAUCUAUUUAGCCCUCGAAGCAAAGUACUACUACGCAUGCCCCAAGAGGGAUAGAUUGGUAGGAAAAGACCAUCGCUCGUCCCCGACUGCCACUCAUAAGGAAGACAAUCAAAAGAGCACCUCAUGCAACAAAUUUGUCACACAACUUUUACCAUACGUGCAUGCUACGGGACUUGCCAACUUCAACAAAAGUAUUCUCAAUUUCAUAAUUACCCACUAGCAUGACCCUAACAUUACUACCUUUAUAUCUCAAACAAUAAUCAAGCAUCAAAUUAAUCAUAGCAUCCAAUUCACUUCCUAUGAUAGUUUUUAUUAUACCCAACUUGGAUGCUCAUCAUUCUAGGACCAAAUUUGUAACCAUAGCAAAUACCAUGUUGUUCUAAAAGACUUUAAAAAAGAUAUAAGUGAAGCAUGAGAGACUAGCAAUUUCUUCAAAAUUAAUCCACCGCCGUGCUUUAAAAGAUAUAAAUAAAGCACUAGAGCAAAUGACAAACUACUCCGAAAGAUAUAAGUGAAGAUCAAUGAGUAGCUAAAUAAUGUAACUAUAUGAAGACUCUCUCUCAUUAAAGAAUUUCAGAUCUUGGUAUCUUAUUCAAACAGCAAGCAAAAAAAAUAAAAUGACAAUGCAAGGAUAGCACAACUCAUGUGAAGAAGCAAAAACUUAGGCUCAACCAACAUUAACCGAUAGUUGUUGAAGAAGAAAGGUGGGAUGCCUACCGGGCAUCCCCAAGCUUAGAUGCUUGAGACUUCUUAGAAUAUUAUCUUGGGGUGCCUUGGGCAUCCCCAAGCUUGAAAUUUUGUGUCUACUUAAUUCCUCUCAUAUCAUGGUUUCUCUUUUUAUCAAAAGCUUCAUCCACACCAAACUCAACAAGAACUCGUGAGAUAGGUUAGUAUAAGCCAAUGCAAAACCUUAUCAUUUUCUACUGUAACAAAUCACUAAAAUUAUUAUUCAACAUUGCAUACUAAAUGUCUCUGCAUAUUUAAUACUCCUAUCCUCAAAUAGAAUCGUUAAACAAGCAAAUAUAUGCAAACAAUGCAAACAUAACAGCAAACUACCAAAACAGUACAGUCUGUAAAGAAUGCAAGAGUAUCAAUACUUCCCUAACUCCAAAAAUUAUGAAAUAAAAUUCCCACUGUAGUAAAUUUAUCAGAGCUCAUUAUGCAAAAAAAUUCAACAUUAUAUCAUUCUCUGACUUUUCUAGGGAAGUUUUGCAACAGCGGUAAACUUUCUGUUUUCAAAUAGCAACAUGUAUACUAGCAAAAUAAGCAUGGCAAAGGCUAUCCUUGACUUCUUUAUUGAAACUAAAGAUGCAAAAUAUUAUUCUAACUAAUAGCAAGCAAAUACUAACAAAAGAAAAUGACGCUCCAAGCAAAACACAUAUCAUGUGGUGAAUAAAAAUAUAGCUCCAAGUAAAGUUACCGAUAGACGAAGACGAAAGAGGGGAUGCCAUCCGGGGCAUCCCCAAGCUUAGACUCUUGGUUGUCCUUGGAUAUUACCUUGGGGUGCCUUUGGCAUCCCCAAGCUUAGGCUCUUACCAUCCUUAUUCCAUAGUCCAUCGAAUCUUUACCCAAAACUUGAAAACUCCACAACACAAAACUCAACAGAAAACUCGUAAGCUCCGUUAGUAUAAGAAAAUAAAACCACCACUUAGGUACUGUAAUGAACUCAUUCUAAAUUCAUAUUGGUGUAAUAUCUACUGUAAUCCAACUUAUCUAUGGUUCAUACCCUCCGAUACUACUCAUAGAUUCAUCAAAAUAAGCAAACAACACAUAGAAAAUAGAAUAUGUCAAAAACAGAACAGUCUGUAGUAAUCUGUAUCAAACGUAUACCUCUCAAACUCCAAAAAUCCUACAAAAUUAGGAAGUCCUAAGCAAUUCGUGUACCAAUCUAGAGUAAAAAGGAUCAGAUCAAGAGCACGUUCCUCUCAAUGAAAAAAACUAAUUUACUGCGUGCAAAUGUUUCUGAUUCUCAGCAGGAUCAACACAACUAUCACCAUAAGCUAUCCUAAAGGUCUUACUUGGCACUUUAUUGAAACAAAAGCUAUAAAACAUGAUUACUACAGUAGAAUAAUCAUGUGGACACACAAAAACAGUAAGGGUAAAUAUUGGGUUAUCUCCCAACAAGCGCUUUUCUUUAAUGCCUUUCUAGCUAGGCAUGAUGAUGACAAUGAUGCUCACAUAAAAGAUAAGAAUUGAAACAUAAUGGGAGCAUCAUGAAGCAUAUGACUAGCACAUUUAAGCCUAACCCACUUCCUAUGCAUAGGGAUUUUGUGAGCAAACAACUUAUGGGAACAAUAAUCAACUAGCAUAGGAAGGUAAAACAAGCAUAGCUUCAAGAUUUUCAACACAUAGAGAGGAAACUUGACAUUAUUGCAAUUCCUACAAGCAUAUAUUCCUCCCUCAUAAUAAUUUUCAGUAGCAUCAUGAAUGAAUUCAACAAUAUAACCAGCACCUAAAGCAUUCUUUUCAUGAUCUACAAGCAUAGAAAAUUUACUACUCUCCACAUAAGUAAAAUUCUUCUCAUGAAUAGUAGUGGGAGCAAACUCAGCAAAAUAAUUAUCAUGUGAGGCAUAAUCCAAUUGAAAACUAAAAUCAUGAUGACAAGUCUCAUGGUUAUCAUUAUUCUUAAUAGCAUACAAGUCAUCACAAUAAUAAUCAUAGAUAGCAACUUUGUUCUCACCAUAAUCGAUUGAAACCUCUCCCAAGAUAGUGGAAUCACUAAAUAAAGUUGACACUCUUCCAAAUCCACUUUCAUGUUCAUCAUAAUAAGAUUCAAUAUCCUCCAAAAUAGUGGGAUCACUACUUCCUAAAGUUGACACUCUUCCACACCCACUUUCAUCAAUAUAAUCAUCAUAAAUAGGAGGCAUGCUAUCAUCAAAAUAAAUUUGCUCAUCAAAACUUGGGGGACUAAAAAUAUCAUCUUCAUGAAACAUAGCUUCCCCAAGCUUGUGGCUUUGCAUAUCAUUAGCAUCAUGGAUAUUCAAGGAAUUCAUACUAACAACAUUGCAAUCAUGCUCAUCAUUCACAUAUUUAGUAUCAAACAUACUAUAGAUUUCUUCUUCUAGCACUUGAGCACAAUUUUCCUUUCCAUCAUACUCACGAAAGAUAUUAAAAAGACGAAGCGUAUGAGACAAACUUAACUCCAUUUUUUUGUAAUUUUCUUUUAUAAACUAAACUAGUGAUAAAACAAGAAACAAAAAGAUUCGAUUGCAAGAUCUAAAGAUAUACCUUCAAGCACUCACCUCCCCGGCAACGGCGCCAGAAAAGAGCUUAGUUGACGGGGUGUGAGUGAGUGCCCUUUACCUAGCCUCCCCGGCAACGGCGCCAGAAAAGAGCUUGAUGUCUACUACACAAUCUUCUUCUUGUAGACGUUGUUGGGCCUGCAAGUGCACAGGUUUGUAGGACAGUAGCAAAUUUCCCUCAAGUGGAUGACCUAAGGUUUAUCAAUCCAUGGGAGGCGUAGGAUGAAGAUGGUCUCUCUCAAACAACCCUGCAACCAAAUAACAAAGAGUCUCUGGUGUCCCCAACACACCCAACACAAUGGUAAAUUGUAUAGGUGCACUAAUUCGACGAAGAGAUGGUGAUACAAGUGCAAUAUGGAUGGUAGAUAUAGGUUUUUGUAAUCUGAAAUAAUAAAAACAGCAAGGUAACUAAUGAUAAAAGUGAGCGUAAACGGUAUUACAAUGAUAGGAAAUAAGGCCUAGGGUUCAUACUUUCACUAGUGCAAGUUCUCUCAACAAUAAUAACAUAGAUAGAUCAUACAACAAGCCCUUAACAUGCAACAAAGAGUCACUCCAAAGCCACUAAUAGCGGAGAACAAACGAAGAGAUUAUGGUAGGGUACGAAACCACCUCAAAGUUAUUCUCUCGGAUCAAUCUAUUUAAGAGUUCGUACUAGAAUAACACCUUAAGACACAAAUCAACCAAAACCCUAAUGUCACCUAGAUACUCCAUUGUCACCUCAAGUAUCGGUGGGCAUGACUAUACGAUAUGCAUCACACAAUCUCAGAUUCAUCUAUUCAAAUAACACAAAGUACUUCAAAGAGUGCCCCAAAGUUUCUACCGGAGAGUCAAGAACGUGUGCCAGCCCCUAUGCAUAGGUUCAUAGGCGGAACCCGCAAGUUGGUCACCAAAACAUACAUCAAGUGGCACAUGAUAUCCCAUUGUCAUCACAGAUAAGCACGGCAAGACAUACAUCAAGUGUUCUCAUAAAAGACUCAAUGCGAUAAGAUAACUUCAAAGGGGAAACUCAAUUCAUUACAAGAGAGUAGAGGGGGAGAAACAUCAUAAGAUCCAACUACAAUAGCAAAGCUCGGGAUACAUCAAGAUCGUGCCAUAGAGGGAACACGAGAGAGAGAGAUCAAACACAUAGCUACUGGUACAUACCCUCAGCCCCGAGGGUGAACUACUCCCUCCUCGUCAUGGAGAGCGCCGGGAUGAUGAAGAUGGCCACCGGUGAUGGAUUCCCCCUCCGGCAGGGUGCCGGAACGGGCUCCCGAGAGGUUUUUGGUGGCUAUAGAGGCUUGCGGCAGUGGAACUCCCGAUCUAUCUUGAUUUCUGAUGGUUUUAGGAUACGUAGGUAUAUAUAGGCGAAAGAAGUCGGUCGGGGGGUGCUCGAGGGGUCCACGAGACAGGGGGCCGCUCCCUGUAGGGGGGGCGCCCCCUAUCUCCUGGGCUCCUCGAGUAUUUUGUGACUUGAUCUCCAAGCCUCCAGGAUGAUAUUCUUCCAAAAAAUCACGAUGCCGAAGGUUUCAUUCCGUUUGGACUCCGUUUGAUAUUCCUUUUCUUCGAAAUACUGAAACAGGCAAUAAAACAUCAAUAUGGGCUGGGCCUCCGGUUAAUAGGUUAGUCCCAAAAAUGAUAUAAAUGUGUAAAAUAAAGAUCAUAAACAUCCAAAAGGGGUAAUAUAAUAGCAUGGAACAAUCAAAAAUUAUAGAUACGUUGGAGACGUAUCAGAUGUUUACUGGACGGGAUGGGAAGGAUAUUUACCACACCCAUUCAAUGCCCGUUCCUCCGUCUGCCCCAUUAAACAGGCUCGCUGGCCUAGAAACCAACUCUCGCGCUUGCGCACUGAUGCACCCAGACGCUUGGCCUCACCUGCAUCCACUAUUUUAGGGCGGCCAGAGUCAGGUCACAUCACACCACAACCCAUCUGCUGCAUAUCUUCCUCCCAUGCACCACAUCUGCCAUGCCCGCGAGCGAGAACGCUCUGUGAGAGUGAUUGCCCACGGAGAAAAAGCAUGAGGUGACGGCCCUUUGCGGCCACCAUGCCGGGCGGACAGAGGCCGACAUGUCGGCCAGCUCUUCGAAGGUCUUCGACGACGACCCCACGAUGAAGACUAGCUUUGACGACGACUCCAUGCCGGAGCCCACGCAGGUGCAUGCCACCUUGGCGAUGGAGCUGGCACAAGCGCACUUCAACGCCGCCAUGGCGGAGGAGUAGUCGGCGCCCGCACCUAUGUCGGCAUUUCGGCAGGUGCAAGAGGAACAAUGCUACAAUUUGUUCCUCCUCGAGCAGUAGCAGCUGGCGGAGGGCCAUAUCAACGGCGAGUGUGCGAGCGAGGAGGCCAUGGUGGCCAUGUUCGCGGUGAAUCUUAACUUCGUCGCCGAGCAGCACACGCUCUAUGAGGCCGCCCGUGCUCAAGGCUCGUAACGUACAGGCGGCGCAGUCGGAUGCGGAGGCGGUGCUGGCUGCGCAGGCUAUCGCGGACGAGAACCCCGUCAGCUGCGCGUCUUACGUGCCCCCAAAUGUUGUUUGGCCGCGAUGGUGGGGCAACGAGCGUGUCGGCUCCUCCAUUUCCAUCUUGGACCUCACAUCCGUCGGCGACAGACAGGCAGUGGAUUUCGACGAGGAUGCGUAAGGCAUGUGAGGCGGCAGGGCUCGAGCCCCAAACGGGCGAGUCCAUCUCCCAUGUCGCUCAUUCACUUCCUCGCCAGCGACCGCACAUUGACUUUACGAGUCUUAUCCCUGUCGCUCAUGGAGACAAUAUAUGGAGGAAGCAGUCAUGGAAGGGAACAACAAAGACUUGGACGACGGGCGUUGCCGUAGGCUAGGUUUAUGUCAGGUCUUUUUUUUAAUGAAAACCGGUCAAAAUGUAAUUAAUGUGCUUCGAUUUAUAUGAAAAUCAUCCAGUUUGCAUGUAAUCCUUCUGGUUUGUUUAAACCCGCCUUAAAAUAUCUGGAGAUAGCUUUAGAUGCUUAAUCCCGUUCACAUCCCGAGCCAAUAAUAGAGCGAAUAAUUAAAAGAGUACUCCACCACGAGCAGCUCAGCCAAUUCUCACAAGCUUAGGAAAAAGAAAAGCAGAACCACUCGCAGAUGGAUUUUUUCUAUCUUUACAGCUCACUCUAUCAGUCUACUAAUACCACACAUAUUCUCAUCAUGCAAGAAUAGAUUUCAGAUAUACUCCCUCCGUUCCGAAUUACUUGUCUUGGAUUUGUCUGGAUACAGAUGUAUCUAGACUCAUUUUAGUGCUAGAUACUUCUGUAUCUAGACAAAUCCAAGACAAGUAAUUUAGAACGAAGGGAGUAAAAUAUAGGAUCUGUCUAGGACACAUCUAAAUGUAACGUAGUUAUGUCACAUCGAAGCUGAUUUUCACUCUGUUUGUGGUCUAUUUUUUUCUAGUUUUUUUCUUUUCUUGUUGCUGCAUUAUAUAUUUGUUGGAGUUUAGAUGUGACAUUCUUAAAAAGCAUCUAGAUGUGAAUUAGACAAACUGAAAAAUAUAAUAGUACUAGCAUAUAUUCUAGCCGGUUUGCGGGUCGGAGAUAUAUACCCUUACAAAAGCCAAUAGUGGUAGUGGAGCACCUAAAUUUCUCCAGCAGUACAUCACUACCCUCUCGCUCCCCAGCAAAAUUUCGAACUGCGUUGCGCUACGCUUGUCGACCAGCGAUGCGGCCUGCGGUGAGUCCCGGCGGCGGAAGGAGGAUGUCCCCGGGCGAAGAGGCUCUGCGGUCGUUGAAGAGGCCGCGCCACCCCGUGGAUCCCGGCUCCGGCUCCGACCCCGGCUCCAGCUCCGGCUCGGAAUCCGACGGCGAUUUCGUCAGGUGCCGCGCAUCUGAUUUCGAGCUUUUCCUCUUCGAUUCGGCGGCUCGCAUUUCUAAUUCCUUGUCGUUUAACUUUGUGACGAUGGGUACAUUUGUGGCGGGAGCAGCGACUUGAGGCAGAUCGCGUGCCUGCUGCGGUUGAUCAAGGGCGGGCCCAACAAGGAUCGCCAGAAGAUGUGCGAGCAGAUCAUCGCCAGGUGCGCAGAACAAUGUUCUUUCGGUUGCACCUCCGAGUUUUCUCUUAUCGCGGUAUGUGCUAGCGUGCAAAAAAAUUGGGAUAUGCGUAUAUGCUACCCUAGCGGCUUCUUCUGAUGCAUUUCGUGCUCGCCGAUUUGUUCGGAGAGACUUCCAGUUCAUGGUCACCGGGAGGGAUGUGCAACAAAUAAACGUUGCACGUUUGCAAUCCUGCAAUGUGUUCAGUCGGCUGAUUAUAUGUGAUUAAUGCAGGAACUAGGUUCGUUUGAUGGUACCUGUCAGUUUUUGCAUAUUAUGCGGAGCGAUAUGCACUGUGAGUGAUGUGAGGAAAAUGGGCAUAUUAAUUUGAUGGGUUCCUCGAUUCAUGUUUUUUAUGUAAUGGUGUGGCUUUGUUCGGGUGAGUUGAUUUUCAGAACCACGGCUGGCCUGAACAUUUCUAUAAACUUUUCAGAACUAUUACAAAGACCCUAGUUAUUGCACAUCUAAGUGACUUAAUCAAGCAUAAAAAGAAAAAAAAUACCCACACGAAUCUCCGCGUAAAAUUAAUGACAUAGGACUUAGAUGUGCAACAAUACUUAUGGCACAUCUAGAUAUGCUUUAGGAAAAUUGUACAAAGAAUUAUUUACACAGGCAUCGGGGAGAAAAAGCAGAAAAAAAUUAUAACAUGUGGUCUAAAGGGACUGCAUUGACUGUACUGUGAAGUUUGAAGCGCAUAAUGUUGCUGAUCAUUAUUCUUUUACCUUUUCCUUACACCGUUUAUUCCUUUACUUUUCUCAACCUGACAGUGUUGCAGCCAAUAUUCAGACUAUGCUUGAAGAUACCAAGUCCAAGUUUGAGAAGGAAAGGUAACUCACUUGCUUGUGAACUGUGAAACAAUACCUGCAUGUACAAUUACGCCUGAAACUAUUUCUGUCCGAAAAGAAAACUUGUUCGUUUUUAUUUAGAACGCAGUGUAACUGUUAUAUUUGCAUGCGCAGGCAGAACUUGCUGAAAGUAUUGUCAGGCACUUCGAAAGAGGUAUCCAGUUUAGAAUUCUUUCGGAUUGUCGACUAACUUACUGAUUUGCCUAAGAUUGAAAUAUGGCAUGUGAUUUGCACUAUUAGCAGUGUGAAAGUUCAUUGAACGAAGAGUACACCAAGCUUCAGGAAACAUAUGAAAUGUUCUGUGAAGAAAAUGAUGCACACUUACAAACCUUCAAAGGUAUGGCAAAUAAGAGCUGGUUGUCAUUUUCACAAGUAUAUCAUGUGCUUCUAUCCAGAUUUAUCUAGGAUUUUAGGGCGUUGUGCCAUGUGAUGUCAUUUGGUCUAAUCAGCCAGUACGUAUGAACUGUGAUUCUUACUACUUACUAGUACUUACAAGCCUUUUGUCCCAAACAAGCUGGGAUAGGCUAGAUAUGAAACCCUUUCACGAGGACUUCCCAGGAGGUCACCCAUCCUAGUACUACUCUCGCCCAUUACGUUGCUCGCCAAGCCUAUCACAACCCUUAGAUAUGAAACCCUUUCACGAGGACUUCCUAGGAGGUCACCCAUCCUAGUACUACUCUCGCUCAAAUGGGUUUCAUACCUAUGGGACUGGCUAGUUUUUAUGUUGGCUUGCCAAGCCUAUUACAACCCUCCUCCUUUACCCGGCUUGGGACCGGCUAUGCCUAGAAGACAUAGGCGGAGUUAUGAGCUGUGAUUCUUAUCUUUGGAAAAAUAUAUUGAGGAAUGAAUUAUACCUGGUUUUGAUGCAAACAGAAUCUACGUGACACUUGUAUUCAUGUGUUGUUUUUAAAUACGCAUUGCUUGGCUGCUGCUUGUCAGCGACUCAGGCAUUAUUUGGAUGAUGUUCCCAUAGAAGACGUUCAGAUCUUACUGAUUCUGCAAAAAUAUUUGGCUCUUAUUUGACUUGUUAAAUGUCCUGUUACGCAGACCUAUUCUCACAAGUUGAAGUUGAGAAAAAGAAACUGCUUGAGCAGUAUCAAUAUCAGAGUAAGUGACUAGAGGAUUCAUUUCCCUCGGACGGAAAUAUGCUGUUCUUACACUCAAAUCCUUGAAACAGGGAAGGAGACGGCUACAUUGUCUGAACUUGGUGAAACCUUCUCAGAGAAGAUAACAAAUGCCAAACCAUCACCGAAAAGGAUGAAGCAGGUGUGGCAAAAUUCACAACUGCUUGCAUUUCUUAGACUCCAUUUUUAGCUACCCCGUCAGGCCUAAAGCUGAAUGACCAGCCAAUUUUUUUGUUCCAUGGUUUGAAACACCUCUUCCUGCAAAAUACUGCAUUCUUUUUCGCAGGAUGACAAGUCUUUUAUCAUCUUCCGCAAGUCGAUUGGUUCAUAUCUCGAGUGCGCAUCGGACGACGAUUUUGACCUUGAUGAUGAAUGACGCUGCUUCUCUUGUCCAACAUACUGAUCCUUUGAAGCGACACAUACAAAACGAUCUUGCUAUUUUUCUUUUUUUUUUUCACGUUUCCUCCUUUAACCGACAUCUUAUAGAACAUCUUAAGGCCAUGUUCGCUUAAUCCCCUUGCCACAGGGAUUGAAGGGGAUUGGGGAGGUUUGAGAAGGAUUUUGACUUGCAAGGGAUUUAAUCCCCUCCAAUCCCUUUCAAACCUCUUCAAACCCUUCCAAACCGAACAAGGCCUAAGGGUAUAUAUAUACUCCCUCUGUUCACUUUUAUAAGGCUUUGUAGACGUUUCAGACAGUGUGCAAAACAGCACAAUUUCACUUGUCUGAAACGACUUAUAAAAGUGAACGGAGGGAGUAGGUCAUAGGAGAGAAGGCUUCACAGUUUGUAUUAGGUACAUUGCCUCGGACCCUUUUUUCUGACAUAGGUACAUUUCCUCAGACUCUUGAAAAGGAAGUGUUAUCAUAAAUCUGUCUGCAAUGUUGGAUUGGCUUGAGAGGUUGGUGUAAGGCCCCAGAUUUAAAACUAGCUUCGACCCAACCUUGUGUUGGAUCGGCCAUUUACAUGUAGCAAUUCUUAUGUUUUCGUCCUCGCUUCUCGCAAAACGCUAACCACAGUUUUCAAUGGAACACUUGGGUUUAUAUGGUUGUAUGCAAUCGCUUGAAUGCUAACGAGAGUUUUCAACGGAACACUUGGGGUUAUAUGGUUGUAUGCAAUCACUUGAACUAGCAAGUUGGGACUGUCCCUGCUAUGCUGAAACACCCACGAGAAAGACGAGAAUUUUCCAAGAUAUUUGAGUUAGUGAAAAUUUUCUAUGAAAUGUAGCACAAAGAAAUACUUCUGAAAAAAGGACUCGUGGCAUUAAAUCCUACAAAUUCAAGCAUGCCAUCCAUAGGAUUGAGCAAACCAUGGUCCUAUAAUAUCAAAAAAUUUGUAAGGAUCAAACUAGUCUAAAAUUAGUGAUAAAAGUUGGGUUCCCGCCAGGCCUGCAAACCGUGGUGAGCUAAUACAAAAUGAACUUUUUUCUUUUGUGGGAAUGAACUUGAACCACUAAACUCCUCAGAUGUCCUGGACAUCGACACUCAAAAACUGGAAGUGGGCCGCUUGCACCCCUAUCUAAAAUACCUUUGAAAAAUCUCUUAAGAAGCCCUUAAAAUGGACCUUUGUCGCUGUAACACGAUCGAAAGAACCAAAAGGAGCAUAAGGAUUAUAAUACUCCAAUGACGUUGAGCUUGAACAUGAACGUAAAACUUUACGAUGCCGGUAAAUUGACUACUUCCUGGGGUCAAGUUCCCAAGAAACAAUACAAGCUAGAAGCCUUGCCCCCACCCACACAGACACGUUCAAGUAUGCGAUAUCAACGCCAUCCUUUUCGCAAAAUAAAACGGUCACAGUUCAACCAUCCAACUCUCAGAUUCUGAGGUUAAAUCACACUUCAACCAGAUGGUGCACGAGAUUAGUACCAACGCUGUGCACACAGAGUACCGUUAAUAUUCAGCUAUUUUCAGAACACAUCGUUCCAAUUGACGCUAUAAAUUUUAGAAAUGUAGUUUGUCAUGCCAGACAGAAUGACGCUGUCCAUGGUCUCCAACAUCUUGCGAUUGCAGUUCAGAUUCUCCUGCUGCUGCGCUGCUAGCGAUUUCUCCUCGUCUAGUUCAUGCUACAAGGUCCAAAAAACAACAAGCGUCAGAGAAUGCUUGCAUAACUCCACUAAUUACCAAGUAAUCUGUGGAUAAAGCACAGAACAGGACCACGCAUGUGAAAGAUGAUUGCCAUUGAAUUUCAGAACUGAGGGUCUAAAACAUGGAUUUUACCUCAAUUAGUGCAAAGUUCUCCACCUCAUGUCUCCUGGAGAGUAUCUUCGAUUUUUUUAGAAUCUCAUAAUCAGGAUCUCUGUGGCCCACCCAGCGAAAUUUUAAUUUACUCCCAGGUCUCCGGGGGCGAUCAUUGAACAUCUCAGGCGUAGCAUGCUUCGCCCUAACAGGCCUUGGAAUUCCAGAGAUCAUAAAAGGGAAGUCUUGCAGCAUACUGACCACAACUUCAGCAUCCUUCUCAGUUUCCAUCUGUACUAAUGCAGAUUGAGGAAUAUUGUAGGGAAUGGUGUAGUUCACAACAAAACUGACCUUUCUGAUACUACAAAAUUGACCCAAAGCUGUUUUUAUGACUGCCUCUGUAGCCUGGUGAGAUAGAUUGUCAAGGUAAACAGUUCGUUUGACCUUCUCCUCGAACUCCUGAUACUGUUUUAUGGUUUCCAACUCUUCAGCACUCUUACUUUGAUUAGCAGCCUGGCCAUCAGAAGUGGAAAGCUUCAUUCCAGAUGUAUUCUGGCUGGUGCCGGUAGCCUGCACUGCAGAGGUGCGCGGCUUCUUGCGUGGGGUGAUUUUCUUAGCUGGAUCGGUUGGUCUUUUGCUUGGGGCCUUGUUUCUAACCACAUCAGACAGCUUCUUGGUGGGAAUGGUGUGGUUAGCAUGUUCAAACACAUCACACUUUAUAGCAGUGGUUGACAGGGUCCUGCUUGGGUUGCUCUUAGCCUCUGUAGCCUUGUGAGAGGGGUUGUCAAGAUAUACAAUUUCCUUGAUCUUCUCCUCCAACUCUUGAUGCUCCUCUAUGACCUCCAUGUUUGCAGCACUGGUACUUUGCUCCACAGCCUGGUCAACAGAAGCAGAAAGCUUCAUUCCAGGGGUCUUCCCGCUGGUACCAGUAGCUCUAGCUUGUACUGAAGCGGUACACAAACUCUUGUGUGGGGCAUUUUUGUUAGCUCGAUAAGUUGGUCUAUUGCUUGGGCCAUUGUUUUUAGCCUCACCAGACAGCAUCUUGCUCGGAAUGGGAUGAUUAUCUUCUUCAAACACCUCCUGAGACUUCACAGCGGUGAUUGUUUGAUUCCAUCUUGGGUUGUUACCCUCUUCAUCUGCUACUUUACUGUCAGUAUUGUAGAGCAGUUUCUUUCGUGGGGAGUUGCUAUGUUCCUCCUCACCCUGCUUUCUAGUCGUUGUAAGGCUCUUGCUUGGGCUGUUGUUGAUAUGAUCUCUAGGCAAUUCCUGAAGUUGAAGACGAAGCAUCAUGCUCGAGAUGUUGUUCACCUCUUCACACAAUCCAUGUUUAGCAGCGUAACUGCUUGGAUCACUUCCUUGCUCUUCAGCAGCGACUCUCAGGUUCAUGCUCAGGGUGUUAUCAUUUGCCUCAUCCAGUAGUUUGUUGCCUGAGGUAUCGCUCUCAGACUCAGCGGACCAUGUCUUGCUAAGGGUGUUGCUAUUGGCCCCAUUACAGUGUCCCACUCUUGGGGAGUGGCUGCUUGCCUCACCAUGUGCUGGAGUGGUUAUCAAAUUCUUGCCUGGCUUGUCAGUAAUCAGUUUGUUGUCCUCAGGAUACUGUUUGACGGAAUCCAAAUCUGCAGCACUCUUACUUUGAUUAACAGCCUGGCCAUCAGAAAUGGGAAGCUUCAUUCCAAAUGUAUUCUGGCUGGUAUCAGUAGCAUGUAAUGCAGAGGUGUGUGGCUUCUUGCGUGGGGUUCUUUUCUUAGCUGGGUCAGUUGAUCUAUCGAUCAGGGCCUGGUUUCUAGCCACAUCAGAAAGCUUCUUGCUAGGAAUGGUGUGGUUAGCAUUUUCAAACAUCUCCCGCUCUAUAGCAGUGGUUGACAGGGUCCUGCUUGGGUUGCUCUUAACCUCUGUAGCUUGGUGAGACAGGUUGUCAAGAUUGACAAGAAAUACAGUUCGCUUGAUCUUCUCCUCAAACUCUUGAUACUCCGUUGUGACCUCUGUGUUUGCAGCAUUGGUACUUUGCUCCACAGCCUGGCAAACAGAAGCAGAAAGCUUCAUUUCAGGGGUGUUCCGGCUGCGGCUAGUACCAGUAGCCUGUACUGAAGAGGUAGGCAGCCUCUUGACUGGGGAAAUUUGUUUGGCUGGAUCAGUUGGUGGAUUGCUUGGGGCAUUGUUUUCUUUGGUGGGAAUGGGGUGGUGAGCUUCUUCAACCACAUCCUCAUACUUCGCAGCGGUGGUUGUCAGGUUCCAGCUUCCGUUGUUACCCUCUUCAUCUUCUUCUUUGUUGUUAGUAUCAUAGCACAGUUUCCUUCUUGGGGAGUUGUUAUGUUCCUCAUCACCCUGCAUUCCAGGGGCUAUAUCAUUCUUGCUUGGGCUGUUGUCUAUAUGACCUUCAGGUACUUCCUGAACUGGUAGAGGAAGUAUCAUGCUCAAGAUAUUGUUGUUGGCCUCUUCACACGGUCCCUGUUUAGCAGCAUAACAGUUUGCAUCGCUUGCUUGCUCUUCAUCAUCGACUCUUAGGUUCUUGCUCAGGGCGCUGUAAGUUGCCUCAUCCAGGUGUUUGUGGCCUGAGGUAUCGCUCUCAGAUUCAGCAAACAGUGUCUUGCUCAGGGUGUUGCUACUGCCCUCAUUACACAGUCCCAUUCUUGGGGAGUGGCUGCUUGCCUCACCCUGUACUGGAGCAGUAAUCAGAUUCUUGCCUGGUAGAGGAAGUAUCAUGCUCAAGAUAUUGUUGUUGGCCUCUUCAUACGGUCCCUGUUUAGCCGCAUAACAGUUUGCAUCACUUCCUUGCUCUUCAUCAUCGACUCUUAGGUUCUUGCUCAGGGCGCUGUAAGUUGCCUCAUCUGGUUGUUUGUGGCCUGAGGUAUCACUCUCAGGUUUAGCAGACAUUGUCUUGCUCAGGGUGUUGCUACUGCCCUCAUUACACAGUCCCAUUCUUGGGGAAUGGCUGCUUGCCUCACCCAGUACUGGAGCAGUUGUCAGAUUCUUGCCUGGGCUGUCGAUACUCAUUUCAGGUACUUCCUUACUUCCGGUUUUGUUAAUCCGAGGUACUUUCUUGCUCAGGGUGAGGGAGGCGUCAGGCAACUUCUUCCUCGGUGGUAAACGUAUACGUAUGAUGUUCCAUGGACGGUCUCCCUUCCUGUCAUCAGUUUCGUUGCUGAUUUCAGCAGCCUGGUUUUCUGAGGCAGACAUUCCUUGACACACAAAAAACUCCUGCAGAUUGUGAAUCAAAUGGCGUGAUGAGAAUGAACAAGAAAAGUGCUCAAACAUUAUAUGCUGACCAUUCGAAAUAGAAAUCCAUUCGAGAGAAAAAAAACAUCACAUGCUGAAUUAAUAAGGUCCCAGUUGGUUCAUCAAUUUUAGCACAAUGUCAGACUUAAUUUCACGCUACAAUGUAACUUGCCUAACAUAGUACUAACAUAGAUGUAGCCCUGGCUUGCUUCCAACAGUGUCCCUAAAGCAAUUUGGUGACCUGACACAUGUUACGCAGACACAGAAAUGCGGAUUCACCAUUUCACAUAAAACGGUGACGCAAGCUGCGGCUAUAUAUAUACACAAUAAAUACAAAAUAAUGCAUAUAAAAUAAUAUAUUUUCAAGUAUAUGUUUAUGCUAAACGAAGAUACUAUAAGCCAGAAACAUAGAAAUUGAUCCUCAAACAAUCUAGAAGGAGGAGAGGAGAAGGAACUGAACAGGGUAUGGUGGGCAAACCCCGGGCCAGAAACUAAGUGCUUAUAACUUGUAAAUAAAUAUCCAAAAAAUAUCUCUUGUGAAAGCAUAGAAACAUAUGGCCCGGCUGCACAAUAAAUAUAGAAGUUAAACUUAAUGUUUAACGAUCCAAUAAGUUAGAUAAAAGAUGAGGAAAACUACAAAAGCUAAUACAGGGGUAUAAAAGAGUACAAAAUCGAUGGUUCGGUUCAUCUGCUCGUCCCACAACAUCAAGUGAGAUAGUUAAUCACUGAAACAACACCUUCAAGACAUCAAAACAUGGGAAAAUUUCUUCAUCUUCUGUUCUAAACAUGAAACUGGUGAUAAAAUGCGUCAGUUUGAGGAUUCAAUUCAGCGCAUAUACAAAAAAAAAA